rnacentral:rRNA from 1 species
UACGUAGGGUGCGAGCGUUGUCCGGAUUUAUUGGGCGUAAAGAGCGUGUAGGCGGCCAGACAGGUCCGUUGUGAAAACUCGAGGCUCAACCUCGAGACGUCGAUGGAAACCGUCUGGCUAGAGUCCGGAAGAGGAGAGUGGAAUUCCUGGUGUAGCGGUGAAAUGCGCAGAUAUCAGGAAGAACACCCGUGGCGAAGGCGGCUCUCUGGGACGGUACUGACGCUGAGACGCGAAAGCGUGGGGAGCGAACAGG